rnacentral:rRNA from 1 species
GACGAACGCUGGCGGCGUGCUUAACACAUGCAAGUCGAACGGAAAGGCCCUGCUUUUGUGGGGUGCUCGAGUGGCGAACGGGGGAGUAACACGUGAGUAACCUGCCCUUGACUUUGGGAUAACUUCAGGAAACUGGGGCUAAUACCGGAUAGGAGCUCCUGCUGCAUGGUGGGGGUUGGAAAGUUUCGGCGGUUGGGGAUGGACUCGCGGCUUAGCAGCUUGUUGGUGGGGUAGUGGCUUACCAAGGCUUUGACGGGUAGCCGGCCUGAGAGGGUGACCGGCCACAUUGGGACUGAGCUACGGCCCAGACUCCUACGGGAGGCAGCAGUGGGGAAUAUUGCACAAUGGGCGGAAGCCUGAUGCAGCAACGCCGCGUGCGGGAUGACGGCCUUCGGGUUGUAAACCGCUUUCGCCUGGGACGAAGCGUGAGUGACGGUAAUGGGUAAAGAAGCACCGGCUAACUACGUG